GGGGAGGGUGCUGCCCAAAGCCGAGCCCAGCGAGUCCGUGGAUCCCGAGUGGACAUCCCGGGCGAGACGGCUGAGACCCCACGACCCCGCGACGGCCGAGCACUGCAGGCGACCCGUCUCCCUGCUCCUCCGCCACCUCUGCACCCACACCCCGACUCCUGGCGUGCCCCCCGCCUCCAGGACACCCCCAGCCGCGUGCCUCGCGCAGGUGGCGCAGACGCCCCUGCCCUCCGGCGCCCCCUGCCGGGAAGAGAGAAGGCGGCGGCCGCGGAGGAGCGGAGCACAGGCGGGGAGAGAGCUCCAGCACCGGGAAGAAGCUGGGAGCUUCCCUGAUGGUGCCGCCGCCUCCGAGUCGGGGAGGAGCGGCGAGGGGCCAGCUGGGCAGGAGCCUGGGUCCGCUGCUGCUGCUCCUGGCGCUAGGACACACGUGGAGCUACCGAGAGGAGCCCGAGGACGGCGACAGAGAGAUCUGCUCAGAAAACAAGAUCGCCACGACGAAAUACCCGUGUCUGAAGCCUUCGGGGCAGCUUACCACGUGUUUCAGGAAAAAAUGCUGCAAAGGGUAUAAGUUUGUUCUUGGACAAUGCAUCCCAGAAGAUUACGACGUGUGUGCCGAGGCUCCCUGUGAACAGCAGUGCACAGAUAACUUCGGCCGAGUGCUGUGCACCUGUUAUCCAGGGUUCCGGUACGACCGGGAGAGACACCGGAACCGCGAGAAACCUUACUGCCUGGAUAUCGACGAGUGUGCCACCAGCAACGAGACGCUAUGCGCGCACACGUGCAUCAACACCGUGGGCAGUUACCGCUGUGAAUGCCGGGAGGGUUACAUCCAGGAGGACGACGGGAGGACGUGCACCAGGGGAGACAAAUACCCCAACGACACUGGGCACGGCGAGAAGUCUGAGAACGCGGUAGAGGCCAGAACCUGCUGUGCCACAUGCAAGGAGCUCCACCAGAUGAAGCAGACAGUGCUGCAGCUGAAGCAAAAGAUUGCCCUGCUCCCCAACAAUGCUGCCGACCUGGGCAAGUACAUCACAGGCAACAAGGUGCUGGCCUCAAACGCCUACCUUCCGGGACCUCCUGGGCUGCCUGGGGGCCAGGGCCCUCCAGGCUCACCAGGACCAAAGGGGAGCCCGGGCUUCCCCGGUAUGCCGGGCCCUCCCGGGCAGCCCGGCCCGCGGGGCUCAAUGGGACCCAUGGGACCAUCUCCUGAUCUGUCCCACAUUAAGCAAGGCCGGAGGGGCCCUGUGGGUCCGCCAGGUGCGCCCGGAAGAGAUGGCUCUAAGGGGGAGAGAGGAGCUCCUGGACCCAGAGGGUCGCCGCUAGAAGACACAAGGGAGGAGGCUGAUGCUUGCACUUAUUCACGCACUCACCCAAACACGACAGCUGCAAAGCAGAAUAAGUGUUGGUGACUGUGAGCUGCAUUGUAUCGGUGAUUAACUCUCAGUAAAAUUCCAACCAAGUCUGAACAAGCUUAGAACAUCGACCUUCCCCUCCUCUCUGAAGCACAUGGCCAUCCUCAGGGCUGCAGGCUGCAGACAGAAUCUUCAUUUCCAAGGAGUGACCCCUGGAUACCUAACGAUUAUCUACAACCGCACCCCCCUGCCCCCCAGAUUCAGCCGAGCUCUCGGUGCUUGGGAUCAAGCUGCUGCCCGGUCUUCCUGUUGGCCACCGCAAUUCCAAGGGCAGGGGAGAAGGCCGGCAACACUGGGACUGGGGGCCCUUGGCCCGAUUGCAUCUCACUGGAGGGUUUCGAAGCUUGGGGGAAUUAGGCUAGACCCGCCGAGGAGUCUGGUGCUAGCAGGUCGGAGAAUGCCAGAAAGCUGAGUGUUCUGGCUGAAGCUGGAGAUUGGGAUUUCUGACCCUUGUAUGAGAAAAGGAUGUGGCUGAGUGUGGCACUGGGACACGUUAAUGCCCACAUGCAGAGUGGAUGUUUGAGAAUUAAACCACCCAUAAAGUGAGGCGUUAUAAAUGGGCUGUGACGGCAGCAAACAUUUACUUUGAGCCGCAGAGGUCUGGAUUUGCUAAGCGACACGGGUGAGUGCACCAUGGGGAUCGGAGCCAGGAGGUUACCGGGGACUCCUCCGUGCUCUGGAGUGUUUUCAAGUCAAUAAAACCUACCGCAGUGUGACCUGGGGGCUAAAUAGGACAAUAUUUAAGAAAAAAAAAAAGAAAACACAAAGAGACUCCAGCCUCAUUCUCUUUUUAAAUAAAAUUGUGUGAGCAGGCGCAGGGGGUUCCUACUGGAAAGUUUCAUGGUACUUUCGUAGUAAAUUAUGAAUUCCACGUUGGAACCAAACAGGACAGUUUGAACAUAACGCUUUCUGAAGCUAGGAAAACAGGCUCCUAGUGCUGGCCCUGCUCCCCUCCUGAGCUAAGCCACCUACCUACUUGUGGGAGAGACAAAUCACCCCUGCGGUCUCGGUGCCCUGGCUCACCCCUUGAGAACCUCCUUUUUUCCCUUUCCUUCUUUCCUUCUUUUAUGUACAUUUAGUUCCCACAGGCUUCCUUUAUCAAUAUUUCAAUUGGUUGCUGCUGACCUAUACUUGAAUCCAAAUAUUUGCCCUAUUCAGUGUGAAUUGUGCAUUCAGCCAAAUGCUUGAUGAUGUGUGUGUUCUUUUGAGCAGACUGAAUGGGCUACUUGACUAGGUGAUGCCGAUAUAGCCUGGCCAUUAGUCGUAUUUGUUAGAAUUGACCAGAUGCAACAAGGAAAGAAGAGAGAAGAGGGGGUUUGUGUGCAGUUUUCCUUCCAGCACAGCCACGGUGAAGAAAACGAAAUUGUGUACUUUCCAGGGCAUAAUUACAAACUGUCUCUGUGUUCUUCAAAACAGACUCUUAGUCUAGCAUGAAUCAAAUGAGCCAGCAAUCAAAGGAGAUGAAUACUCCUGAAGGCUCACAGUUUUAUUUGCUCAUUGGAAAAUUACCCCCUGUAAAAUGAAUACGGUAUUUUUAAUGGUGACUGGCAUUCGUUUUUCCAUUGUUCAGAUGAGGACACAAAGAAUGAAAUAAAGCUUUACACAUCAAUUGCCUUCAAUUACUGCCGGUCUCUAUACUG